CGGCAGGAAGCAGAGCGGUGGGAAUGGGGUAUAUCCACACGAGACGAGACUGCAACGGUGCAUCCACACGAGACUGCAACGGUGCAUCCACACGAGACGAGACUGCAACGGUGCUCGCAUAAAGUGUCUCCGGGAAACAGUGGCUCUUGGGAGGCCUUUGGUUUCUGGCUGUUCCUUAAGGACUCUGUCAGCCUUCCUCCCUCUAAAUGUACUCAUCCACACACAGAUGACCAUAUAGAAAAAUUAGAAGCUACAGGAGGACCUCUCUUAAAACACAGCAGCCAGAACAACUUAUGAAGGGCACAGCAGCAUCUACCUACGACUUGCAUCUUUAGGGCACUUAUCUUUUGAGCUUUGAACCCUGACCCAGUGGCUAUGCAAUUUCAUCAAGGUCUGCUGAAAACAUAAAGGACUGCCACCAGUGCAAGCUUAACAAUUCUUUUCUAUGAGACCACAUGAAAGCAAUGAGACCAUCAUUCGCACCUCUGUUAUUUGUACUAAGAACUUAAUUUUUGUGGUUGUUCGUGUCUGGUAUUUUGCAAAGACGCCUCGGAGGCCUUUGGAUUUUGAGGACAGGGAUGACACAGAUGUGAAAAUGAAAUGUCACAAACACGAGCUCCUGCUUUUGCCAAGGGUCAGAUACCGUGCCCACUUCAGAGGAGCCAUUCCAAGCCUGUCUGUCAUUCCCGCGCAAGCUGCUGGGUUUCCUGUUUAUGCGCGCAGAGUUCCACAUCCUGAGAGCUUGCCUUCAGCGGCAGGUUUUUCCGCACACCCUGGGAGAUCUCUUCCUCAAGCUGGCUCACUAUCUAUCAUCUUAGUAAGCGAUUGGAAUUUUGUUAAUUCCUGUUUUACUUUGUGCAUGCAGAAUGCUGCCAUUGUCAGAGGGAAGAUAAUGUUACUCAUAUAUGCUGCUGAGAGUCCCGUUAAGCAGGGACUUGGACAACCAGAGCAGUGGACAACAGCUUCAUGGCCGUCCAGGGUUUGGGGAUAUAAUAAACUCAUGUUAACACCUUUUCUAAUCUAACUACUUAUUCAAAGAAGUUUUAGUGCUUACUCUUUCCUAAAUAAUUCAAAAUUAAGAAAUUGCCUUGGUUGUGGCCAGAUGUGGAAUUAGUUGUUGUCCUCAUAGUAUGUGGGAUUUUCAUAAUUUCUGUGCCCCUUAAGACAUGUUGUGAGAUUAUAUGCUUGUUCACCACUAAGUAUAAAUAACACAUUGUUGCAUAGUCAUUCUUUCUAAGGACUGUUUGUAUCUCAAGAUAACAGCAUAAGCUGAGAAAAUAAAGGUUUGAAGUUGACGUUUUGGCUUUCUGGACAAAAG